AAUAGAUACCCUGGUAGUCCACGCCGUAAACGAUGAGUGCUAAGUGUUGGGGGGUUUCCGCCCCUCAGUGCUGCAGCUAACGCAUUAAGCACUCCGCCUGGGGAGUACGGUCGCAAGACUGAAACUCAAAGGAAUUGACGGGGGCCCGCACAAGCGGUGGAGCAUGUGGUUUAAUUCGAAGCAACGCGAAGAACCUUACCAGGUCUUGACAUCCCGGUGACCACUAUGGAGACAUAGUUUCCUCUUCGGGGGCAACGGUGACAGGUGGUGCAUGGUUGUCGUCAGCUCGUGUCGUGAGAUGUUGGGUUAAGUCCCGCAACGAGCGCAACCCUUAUUCUUAGUUGCCAUCAUUCAGUUGGGCACUCUAAGGAGACUGCCGGUGAUAAACCGGAGGAAGGUGGGGAUGACGUCAAAUCAUCAUGCCCCUUAUGACCUGGGCUACACACGUGCUACAAUGGACGGUACAAACGGUUGCCAACCCGCGAGGGGGAGCUAAUCCGAUAAAACCGUUCUCAGUUCGGAUUGUAGGCUGCAACUCGCCUAC
rnacentral:rRNA from 1 species